AGAAACGCCGUAGCAGGUCUCCUAUGCUGGUUUUUCAUAUUUUUGCACCAUGUAAGUUAAAUUUUUACUUUUUCUUAGUAAUUUUUAUGUUUUUGUAACUUUUACAAUUAGGUCCAAUCAUCUAAUUCAUUAGUUUUUGAUUUGGUGGAUGAAAUUGGAAGUUCCCCUGGCUGAGUAAGGGCAUUUUAUGAUGAAUUAUUAUGAAAUUGAAGUUCUAAUUUCAUAUAAAGGUUGUUUUGUUAAGUCAUUUUUAUAGAAAAUGGUAUUUAGGACCUAAUUGUGAAAAAAAUUGUGAAUUAGAUGUUGGUGUUGAAAUUCAGAAUAUCAAAGGUUGUGAAAUAGUUUAUAAUGAUAAAAUAAAGUGUUAAUUGAGAAAAAUUAGUUCAAUUUAUGGGUGAAUUGAGUAGGGACUAAAUUGUAAAAACUGUAAAUUUUGGGGUAGAGUGCAAUUUCAAAAUUUGAACAGCAUAAAUUGUGAAGUGAAAUAGAAAUCAAAUAAAUGCUAAUGAGUAGAAAUAAUUUAUAUUAUAGAUCAAGAGAAACGAGAUUCAAGUCGUGAUCGAGGGAAAAAUAAAGUUUACGAGGAAUAGGCUCGAUUGCUAAUAUUUUAUAUCGAGGUAGGCUAUGGCUUCGGACAAAUGUGAUAUGUGCUUCCGUAUAAGACCAUAUCCGGGAUAUGGCAUCGGUGUGAUAUGUGCUACUGUAUAAGACCAUAUCUGGGAUAUGGCAUCAGUGUGAUACGUGAUCCGUGUAAGACCAUGGCUGGGCUAUGGCCUCGGUACGUGAUAUGUGACUAUGUGCAAGACCAUAGUUUUACUAUGGCAUUGUGAUAAUGAGGUACUCAAUUCUGUAAUCGUUCCCUAAUUUGAUUAUGAACGAAAAUGUAAAAUGGCCCGAAAAGAUUAAGAAUUGGUGAAUACUAUGAAAAUGACACGAUUUGGAAUAAGUUCUUGAUACUUGAUGACAUUGAGAUUAUGGAUCUAUGCUUAUGAAGCAUAAUUAUGUGUUCUUACCAUGAUGGAUGAAAUGAUAUUGUAUGGAUUUAGUGAAUAAUAGUGGUGAAUGAAUAAAUAUGGCCUUGGCAGUUUUGGGUUACUGCAGUAGAGUAUCUUUUGAAAUUCACCAUAAAUUGUGGAAAUUGAGUUACGGGCUGAGUAAAAUAUGAGAUUAAAGCCUGAUGAGUCUAGUUUCAUAUAGAGGAAACGGUACAUGCAAUUGGAUUUUAUGUUAUGAGAUAUUUAAAUUGUUGUGAGACAGAGUCUGAAUGACUUCGAGAUCCCCUGUUCUGAUUUUAGAAAAUCAUUAGAAAUUGUACAAAAAUAAUUAUGAGUUUUAAUUUAUAUAUUUAAAAUAUUUAUCGAGUCUAUUUUCAAUAGGGAUAGACGGGAACAUCAUCCAAGUCCCGAAUUAUGAGAUAAAUAAUUUUUAGUGAAGAGAGGUCAGAAUUGUUGGACAGUGAAACAGGGGAAACUUUAAUGAGUAGAUUGUACUAAAUGGAUAAACCAAAAAUUCUGGAAAUUUUAUGGGAGAAAGGCAUAUGAAUCUAGUUUCAAGGAAAAUUAAUGGAACUUAAUUUGGAGUUUCGUAGCUCCAGCAAUAAAUUAUUUAGUAAAUGUAUCUCGAUAAAACAGUUUAAGCUGAGUAUGUAUAAUUGUACAAUUGUGGUGUUUUAUCUUAAAAGCAUGUUGUUAAUCGCUUAUUAAUUUGAUAUGGACUUACUAAGCAUUUAUGCUUACUCCCUCCUUUUCAUUCCUUGUAGUUUUGACAAGCCAGCUCGGAAAUCGGGAACAGUCGGAGGCCCACUCACACUAUCCGUAUACCAUCUUGGCAUAAUGGCUUGUAUAUUUUGAGUAUGGCAUGUAUAGCAUUAUAAUCAUUUUGUAUAUAUGGUCUUAUGAUAUGGAUAUUGAGUGGUAUGGUGGUAAUGAUUAGCCAUUGGAAUGGCUAAUCAUGAUCAUAUUUGGAGUUAUGUAUGCUAAAUUGCUAGCUAAUCCAUGGAAACCAUGAAAUAGGCAAAAUUUACCAUAAAAUAGAUUCAGACAGCAGCAGUGAUGUGAGUUUGAAAAAUUAUUAAAAAUAGUAGAGAUACAAUUAGAUGAUGAAUAAAAUAUGGAAUUGAAGAAUUAUUAGUCUAUUUUCAUAUGGAUGGAACAAAACAGG
rnacentral:lncRNA from 1 species